AUCUCUUAUAAAAUCAUACAGGAAACAUUAUCAAACAUAAAAUGAUGUUUGACUUUCUUUAUUCUAAAAACUAAUAAAAAUAGGUGCUAAAAAUUUUCCAAAUGAAAAUAAAUAUUGCUAAACCAAAGAGAAAUGUUAUCUAAGCCCCGUAUAAAAAAUAAAUAAAUCUUGUUCCAAUUGCAUCAAAAAACCCAUUAAGGGCCCUCCAGCACAGGGUUAAUACCAACGAGUUUCCACCUCCAGCUGCUCCUAGAGUGGCCACAGCAUGAGCCAUCUGGUGGGGGACCUAGCCGCCAACAGACACUUCCUGUACAGGGGAGGGGGGAGGGGGCCAGGCAGCCGUUAGACAGCACAACCGAACCCAACACCGGGGCCCAACGGCAGGGGCUUGGGCAGGAGCAAGGUCCGAGGGCUGCCAGGUCCACGCUGCUUUUAUGAGCUGUAACACUCACCGCGAAGAUCUGCAGCUUCACUCCUGAGCCCAGCGAGACCACGAGCCCACCGGGAGGAACAAACAACUCCAGACGCGCUGCCUUAAGAGCUGUAACACUUGCCGUGAAGGUCUGCAGCUUCACUCCUGAGCCAGCGAGACCACGAACCCACCAGAAGGAAGAAACUCCGAACACAUCUCAACAUCAGAACGGACAGACUCCAGACGCACCACCUUAAGAGCUGUAACACUCACCGCGAGGUUCCGCGGCUUCAUUCUUGAAGUCAGUAAGACCAAGAACCCACCAAUUCCGGACACAGUAGCAUUUGGGAAUAAUAAGAAUUGUAGCUGGGCAUGGUGGUACACGCCUGUAGACCCCUAGCAGCUGCCAUCAUCCUCACCAUCCGCAUAUUAUUGAUAUAUUAACUCUUUGAUGGCAACCAUAGCUUAUCCCCCUUAUCUCCCUAUGCCCUACAGCAGGGCAGUGGAAUGGUUAAGAGGCUUUGAAGUCUAAGAGUGCUGGCUUAAAACCCUAAUUUGUCAUUUUGGAUGUGUGGCUUUGGACACUUGGGGCAGGUCACCUAUGUUCUUCAAGCCCUGUAUCCUUAUCUGUCAGAUGAUGAUUUUUUUUUUUUUAGACGAAGUCUCACUCUCUUGCCCGGGCUGGAGUGCAGUGGCAUGAUCUCGGCUUACUGCAAGCUCCACCUCCCGGGUUGACGCCAUUCUCCUGCCUCAGCUUCCUGAGUAGCUGGGACUACAGGCUCCUGCCACCACCCGUGGCUAAUUUUUUUGUAUUUUUAGUAGAGACAGGGUUUCACCAUGUUAGCCAGGAUGGUCUCGAUCUCCUGACCUCGUGAUCUGCCCGCCCCAGCCUCCCAAAGUAUCAGAUGAUUUUAACAACUAUGCUUCCAUGACUUGCUGGGCUAGAUGAUAUGACUGUAAAAUGCCUAACCCAUGGUUUAGCAUCAAGUAAGCAAAUUGUAAAUGGUAGCACUGCUCUGCCUAUGACUAUUUAGUCUUGUGCUUUAAACUCAAAUAUUUGUUGGCCUACUGAAGUCACCACACAGAGAAAGAUGCUUUUCAUUCUCAGUAAAGAACUUUGGGAGAUAACUGGGGCAGGCAGCAAGAGAACAGAUGUCAUAUGUCUAGCAUCAGCAAACUCAUCAGAACUGAUGGGCAGCUCACUUUGCUUAGAACCUGCACCAGCAUACACACGGGGCUGCUUCCCAGUCACACUGCUCCUGGGAAGGUAGGGGGGCUGCUGUUCUGCAAUUAGCGCGGUUCUUUACCUCCUAUUACCGAACUGCCAGAGUUCAUUUGUGUUCAGUUAGGUAGAUGACCAAUUCUUGUUCAUUCCUAUUUUCUUUUGCUCACUAAUGUGUUUAACGUUCACUAACCUACCAAAUGUGAUUUAUUAGCGACUUUUUCUUUGAAGAUGGAGUGGAGGAAUCCUAGCGCUUUCUGCAACAUGCUACUGCUGUUAUGGAACAGUGCAGAUAUGGAAGUGCAUCAGCCGGGGAUGGGGAGAGGCUAGGGCAGUACAUGUGAAUGGAGAGGUAGCCCCACCAGUGUGUUUUCUGAAAUACAGUCCCGCAGAGGGCAGUCUUGGGAAAUUACUGUUCUCACACACUCUUCUUGACCCUACCCCUCCAGCACCUCCCUUGCUAUCCAAGGGUUGGGAUUUUUAAAAAGAAAAACAAAUUUUAAAAAAAGCAGUGUGAAUCUUUUGCCAUCUUGUAAGGGUGAAAAGCCCCCUACCAAGUCGGGAUGAACAUUCAUGCGUGUGCUUGAGGGCUUGGGAAAAAGACAGGGCUUGGCCCCACAGUGCAGGUAGGCCCAGUGAUCCUAUAAUAGGGGCCAGGAGAUGGGAGGUCCCCUGUGGGCAGGAGUUCAAGUAUGUGGUAUUAUAUGACUGGUGCUUGAUGAACCCAGGGAGAGGGCACCAAAAACAAUGGUAUUUAAUUGUAAAAUCUCCACCCCCUGAGGAUAUGUUUUCAGGUCUGGGUGACUAAUUAGACUGGGAAACAAGGGCAGGAACGAUGGCCCUGUGCUUGCUCUGCCCGCUGCCUCUGUGGAUGUGUGGGCUGCUGGCUUCAGUCCUGCUUUUCUUUCUGAUGGUAUUGUUUAUGCUAUGUGUUUUUGCAGGAGGCCUGAGGUGGGCUGGGUUCUCCUCCUAUGGCAGGGCUUCACUCUCCUCCUCCUUCUCUGUUGGGGCUUCACUGUCCCUGGGAUAAGAAUAACAAUGCCAAGGUUUUCAUUCUUGAAAGGAGCAAUUAAGCGUCUCACCCCCUCCUCAUUUUAGAUGGGAACUGUGAGGGUCCCGUCAUUUACCCAGGGUCCCUGUUGAGGAUCUUGUCCUCAUUAGAUGACUUCUUGUGCAGCUUCCAUGCGUGAUUCUUUACUCUUGUGGCACUGAGAGGUUUGUACAUGUCUUUAAGCCAGAGCGGCUUUCUGAAUGAAAAAAGUCCAUCCUAGAAGAUAGAAAGGGAAAUAUUAAUUUUGCAUGUCCUCUGCUUUCCCUGGUCACAGCAAUGAAUCCUCCAAUGUACCUGACUCUCCCUUUGCGAAGAGCAUCUCCGUGGCAGAAAUCUGAAAAUGCCCCUGGGGAGACACAUGCACAAGACAGUUCGUGAGCCACACAUCUCCCCACACCAAGCUCCUCCAUACAAGACCUCGGACUGCAUCACGUAAAUGCUUUUUCAGGGGCAAAAUCUAGAGAAUCUGAAACGAGCUAUCAGCUUCCCAGUUUGCACAAUUCAUCAAGAAAUUAUGCGGGGUCACUGGCACAAAUGAUGAGGCAUCUCCUGGAAGCUUAACUUCUUAUCCAUCCCAUCUCUUGGACAGAUGAUGCCAGUUAAUUACUUUGAAUCCAAAAGAGACCUGCCAGCUACAGUCAGCAUCGGUCAACCAUCUGUGAAACUGUGAGCUGACAACUUGUCCCCUCCCGGCGAAGGCCACAACAUCCCAACACCAUUAGUCACCAAGGAAGUCUGGGAGAAGUUUCUACCAACUGUAGCGAAAAAGAGAAGACUCACUGGUGGCACCUGCAGCUGCGGCGUUUUCCCCAAGCUGGUCUGUGGAGAAGCCUGGGACAGAAAGAAGCAGCCAGACUCCAGAAUCCCCCAUUUUAAUAGCUAUUCUAUGCUAUGUCCCCGUCUUAUUCCUGGCAACUUACCUCUCAGCUCGUGCACUGUGACAUUACAGCAAGAAGUACUAAUAUAAAUGACACAAAAGAAAAAAGAAACCAUGAGGUUUUGCUUGUUUUAUUAACUAGGUGGGCAUUGUAAAUGUGGAGGGUGGGAAACAAUCAGGAGACAGGAAUCCGAUGAGCAUCUGCCAUGUAUCAGGCACUGCGCAAUGUUCCUUACAUACCACGAUCCCAUUUAACCCUCAAAAAACACUGCAGAGGGCUAUCACUGCCUUCCUUUUACAUACGAAAAAACAGACUUAACAGUUGCUCACGGGAAGCUGAACCAAGAAUCAAAACAAAAGACUUUCGGGCCUCAAAGACUGCACUGUUUCCACUGCACAAAGUUGUCUGCACUGUGAGCAACAGAGGAGGGGAAAGGGGACUAAAAACCAAAACCAAAAAUCCAAUAAAUAAAACAAAAUAAAUGAACUGAGCAUUCAACACAAAAAGUUAUAAGGAGCAGAGGAAAACAUUUCCAAGGAAAACAGGAAGAAGCAAAGCUUAAGAAUAAAAGCGUGACUUACACAUUUACUUGGAUCCAGGGGAAACUGUUGGGGUGAGAUGUUAAAAACAGAGUUAGGAAGUGACUGGAGAACUUGUGUAUUACAUUCCACUUCCUAUGGACCUUGGGUCCUUCUCUGUAACACUAAUAUUGGACUAAAUUCUUCAAAGUUUCCUUGCAAGGACAGGCCACUCUGAAGCUAAGGGGUUACCACCAACCAAGAGACUCCUUCAGUAAUAACACAGUAGGUAAAUUACCCCAGAAGGUAAAUAUGACUGAUUGUCUUACAGUAGCAGGUUUUAAAAUCUUGUUGUCUCAAAAGCAUUGCUAUGGGCCAGGUGCAGUGGCUCACGCCUAUA
rnacentral:lncRNA from 1 species